rnacentral:lncRNA from 1 species
AAAUAGCUAGUACAAAGGAUACAGAUACAACAAAAAGAAGAAGAAUCCACGUCAAGAGAGUAGUGGCAAAAAACAUGCAAAAAUACAGCAGAUUGAUCUUUCUCCCCCCUUUCGCAACAUGUUCUAGUAUUAAGACUGUUUAAUUAAUUUGCACAAUAUCUUCUUAUUCAUAAGUCCACGUAUAGAGAGACUCUAUAACGAAAGAUAACAUACAAGAUCAAUUAAAUUAAUUUGAUAAUUGGAGGCUCCUCAGUUUUUUAUGAGCCUUGAGAGAUCAUCAGUGGGAUAAUCCUCCUCCUCCGAUGCAGAGUCCGAGGGUCCCGCAGCUGCGGCCUCGCCUUCUGGGGCAGCCGCGGUGCCAGACUUAGAUCCAGGCUCGGUGGUCUCGCCCUCAGGAGCAGCUGCGUCGCCGCUGCUGGGAGAAGGAGGGGAUGAUAUUUCGUUAGCAGGGCCUGGGGCUGAGGCUGGGGUGUCGGCGCCACCAUCACUGGGAGAAGGAGUAGAUGAGCUGGAAGAUGAUGGUGAGGU